CUCAGGAUGAACGCUAGCGACAGGCCUAACACAUGCAAGUCGAGGGGCAUCGGGGCGAGGAGCAAUCCUUGCCGCCGGCGACCGGCGCACGGGUGAGUAACGCGUAUGCGACCUGCCCGUUGCAGGGGGAUAAUCGGGAGAAAUCCCGUCUAAUACCGCGUAAUGCCGCGGGGCUGCAUGGCCCUGCGGCCAAAGGGAGCGAUUCCGGCAACGGAUGGGCAUGCGUGACAUUAGCUAGUUGGCGGGGCAACGGCCCACCAAGGCGACGAUGUCUAGGGGUUCUGAGAGGAAGGUCCCCCACACUGGUACUGAGACACGGACCAGACUCCUACGGGAGGCAGCAGUGAGGAAUAUUGGUCAAUGGGCGCGAGCCUGAACCAGCCAAGUCGCGUGAGGGAUGACGGCCCUACGGGUUGUAAACCUCUUUUGUCGGGGAGCAAAUUCCGCCACGUGUGGCGGAGUCGAGAGUACCCGAAGAAAAAGCAUCGGCUAACUCCGUGCCAGCAGCCGCGGUAAUACGGAGGAUGCGAGCGUUAUCCGGAUUUAUUGGGUUUAAAGGGUGCGUAGGCGGACUGUCAAGUCAGCGGUAAAAUACGGGGGCUCAACCUCCGCCCGCCGUUGAAACUGACGGUCUUGAGUGGGCGAGAAGUAUGCGGAAUGCGUGGUGUAGCGGUGAAAUGCAUAGAUAUCACGCAGAACUCCGAUUGCGUAGGCAGCAUACCGGCGCCCGACUGACGCUGAAGCACGAAAGCGUGGGUAUCGAACAGGAUUAGAUACCCUGGUAGUCCACGCAGUAAACGAUGAAUACUAGCUGUCCGGGGCGAAUGAGCCCUGGGUGGCACAGCGAAAGCGUUAAGUAUUCCACCUGGGGAGUACGCCGGCAACGGUGAAACUCAAAGGAAUUGACGGGGGCCCGCACAAGCGGAGGAACAUGUGGUUUAAUUCGAUGAUACGCGAGGAACCUUACCCGGGCUCAAACGACACAGGAACGUACCUGAAAGGGUUCGGCUCUACGGAGCCUGUGUCGAGGUGCUGCAUGGUUGUCGUCAGCUCGUGCCGUGAGGUGUCGGCUUAAGUGCCAUAACGAGCGCAACCCCCAUCGACAGUUGCUAACAGGUCAGGCUGAGGACUCUGUCGAGACUGCCGGCGCAAGCUGCGAGGAAGGCGGGGAUGACGUCAAAUCAGCACGGCCCUUACGUCCGGGGCGACACACGUGUUACAAUGGCAGGUACAGCGGGAAGCCACCUGGCGACAGGGAGCGGAACCCGAAAGCCUGUCUCAGUUCGGAUUGGAGUCUGCAACCCGACUCUAUGAAGCUGGAUUCGCUAGUAAUCGCGCAUCAGCCACGGCGCGGUGAAUACGUUCCCGGGCCUUGUACACACCGCCCGUCAAGCCAUGGAAGCCGGGGGUGCCUGAAGUGCGCUGCCGCGAGGAGCGCCCUAGGGUAAAACCGGUGACUGGGGCUAAGUCGUAACAAGGUA
rnacentral:rRNA from 1 species